CUCCCGUCUCCACGUGUCCUGAAUAACCAUUUUCCUAACUGGCUCUAUCCAAAGGAAGCCCUGACGAAAAACAAAUUUAUCCAUGUUAUUCGCAAUCCGAAGGACGCCCUAGUGUCUUAUUAUCACAUGGCACAGGGCUUAAAGCAUUUUAAUUACAGCGGAACUUGGAGUGGGUACUUUGAGUUCGUCAUGGCUCGCCAGAACGCAGGAUUAAAACCAAUAGACUUUAAUGAUUGGCCAAGUAAUGUCCUGCCAUGGUAUAAUCUAUCCAAGACGCACCAUAACAUAAUGAAUGUGUUUUUUGAGGACUUGGUGGAGGUGAACGUUAUUUUUACAGUAUAAUAAAAAUAACGUUAUAAACCCAGAAAAAUUAAUCUACCGGAGACUAAAAUAUACAAUAUAACCACUGGGUAUUUGGUGAAUGUAAAGAU